UGAACACAAGCCGAUUCUGUUGCCAUGGAGCUUAGAGUUUUGGAAGGGAAAGGCAACCAUGCAAAUGGAAAAUUCCAGUGUUAUAUGAUAGAGACAUUGCUCUGGGCUUCAUGUAGGCAACUCUACACGGAGGCUGUUUCUAAGGGAGGAAGGAGAUAAGGUACAGUAAGAGCCAUGGUCUCUGCCAUGGGGAUCCUUCUCAGAACCUAGGUAAGGAAAUCCUCCCCCCGGGUCCUGCUAGGAAACUAAUUGGGGGUUGAUUCUGAUGAAUACAUGCCUGGUCGCAGCCUGAGAAAUGGACCACGCCAGCAGAUGGCUGGGGCUUGAGAAACGGUCACGGCCUUCAGAGGGGCCCAUCAAUAAUAGAUCGGCUCCAGCCCUGAGAGAGGGAAGCGUUUCUGCGGCAGGGAGUCUUUGAUAUUUUCAUCAGAGCUGAAAGUUUGGAUUUCAUCUAAGAAGCUCUUCUUUGUUAAAUGUUAACAACAAAUCCAGACUCAUUUGGUGUUCUGUGUUGGGAAUUAUUACUCAAGGAGCAACAAAACACAAUAAAAAUAAUUCACCAUGAACGAUUCCUCUAUGAAGUCUGUGAAUAACGUGGAAAAUGAUGGCGAUGUUUGUUAAGUGAAGAAAGUAGACCCUGGAAUUCCUUAUGUGAGGGAGGCUGCAGUGUUCGUGGUGGAGUACUGGUGUGGGCAGUCAGGAAGGUGGCCACCACCCCUCACCGUGGACCAGGGGUGAUUUGAAUUGAAGAAAUUACACUUUAAAAAUUAAUAAAAUGUUGUUACAUCUGGUUCUUAAC
rnacentral:lncRNA from 1 species